AGCUGUGGAUACAACAGAGGGAGCUCCAAAGAGCCUGUCCACCCAGAGAGGAGAGGAGCACUCCGGCUGAGAUUGCUACUAACGGGGCUGCGGGCUGAACCUCACUUCCAUGGGAUAAAACCUGACUCUCGCCUUCAAAACCGUUAAUUGUGCGUGUGUGUGCGCGCGUGCAUCUCGGACUGAGAUGCAGUUGUAGCGCGGCUGACAUUAUCGCCUCUUGCUUCACAGACACAUAUAUUCAAACUUGGAGCCGUCUGGACGCUGAACAAGUUUUCUUUUUGUAUUUACUUGAAAUCCACUCGAGCCGUUUACUCGGAGCCCAAAACCCACGACAAGAUGGGGAGCGAAAAGUACUUGCCGGAGCUUAUGGCAGAGAAGGACACGCUGGAUCCGUCUUUUCAGCACUCCCUGCGGCUACUGGAUCAAGAGAUCGAAAAAAUUCAGAAAGACGAGGGGAAGGAGGAGGAGAAAUUCAUCGACGUCGUCAUCAACAAGAACAUGAAACUGGGCCAGAAAGUUUUAAUACCAGUCAAGCAGUUUCCUAAAUUUAACUUUGUCGGCAAACUCCUCGGGCCACGCGGGAACUCGUUAAAGAGACUACAAGAGGACACUCUCACAAAGAUGUCAAUUCUCGGAAAAGGAUCCAUGAGAGACAAAGAAAAGGAGGAAGAGCUACGGCAGAGCGGCGAGGCCAAAUAUCACCACCUGAAUGAAGACCUGCACGUCCUCAUCGAGGUGUUCGCCCCGCCGGCUGAGGCCUACGCCAGGAUGGGUCACGCUCUGGAGGAGAUCAAGAAGUUUCUCAUACCAGACUACAAUGACGAGAUCAGACAGGCCCAGCUGCAGGAGCUCACGUACCUGAACGGAGGCUCGGAGGAUGCCAAGGUGCCAUCGGUGAGGGGCAAGUCAGUCACCCGUGGAAGAGGGACACCUGUUCCAGGGCCUCCCAGGAGUCGCGGAGGGGUCCCUCCCCUGCAUGCAGCCGUGCCCCGAGGAGCCGCUCCCAGAGGAGCCCCGCCCAGCCGGGCCCCGUCGUCCAGAGGGAGGGGGGUGCAGAGAGCCAGAGGUGCACCCCCGACCGCAGGUUACAGGCCGGCUCCUCCCAUAGUCCAGGAAACGUACGGCGAAUAUGAAUACGACGACGGCUACGGAACAGCUUAUGACGACCAGGGAUAUGAAUCAUACGACAACAACUACAGUAAUCAAGGACAAAACUCAGAUGACUACUAUGAAUACGGACACAGCGGGGAAUCAUAUGAUUCGUAUGGUCAGGAAGAGUGGGCAAACAAUCGCGGCAAGGCUCCGACGGCACGAACAACCAAGGGAGUGUACAGAGAUCAGCCAUACUCCAGAUAUUGAACUGUUUAUACAACCUGCACCUGAGUCCUCAUGGCUGUUUUCAACCCAAGUAAUGGAUUUUUUAUGGACGCUCCCACCUUUUUAGAAUUGAAAACUAAACCACAAAAUAAUUCAAAUGAAACAGCGAUAGCGAGAGUCAAAACAGGUUUUUCAGUCACGGAGUUCCGCCCCCCCCUCGAUUAUUAAAAAAAAUACACCCACUGGAGAAAAUGUGUAACACAAUUUAGGUAAUCUAUCCUUUCCUCUGGGAGAAAUCGAAUGGACGUUAAGAUUAAGAAAGACUCCAUAGUACAUUAAGUUACUCUCUCAGCUAUGUGAUUGUGAAGAAUGACAUUGUAUCAAGCUAUUUGACUUGGUAAUGGUUAGUUCAAUACAGUGGUUCUACACAGCUGCCAGUGCAACUUAAUUUCUCCCCCCUCUAUUCUUUAAACCUCUGACUGCGUGGUUGAUCACUUUAAAAUGUAGUAGCUUAGCUCUAGGAAAGUGCGGUACUGUAGAUAUUUCUUUCUGAGGGGUAAUCGGUGAAGUUGUGUCCCUUGUAAAUGAAACAUUUACAAACUGAAAAAGAGAAAAGUCAUACUGUAUACAUAUUGUAUUGCUGUUUCCUCUUCUUUUUGUAAAAACUAAUAGUUGGUUAGUGUUAAAGGGCUUAUAAAAGCAUGGUGUGCAACUGUGGAUAUUGUCAGCUGUUUUAUUCUGAAAAAGCCUGUGUAGUUGUGUUCAUUGACUAUGACCCCAAACAUCCUCUUAAACACUUAUAAAUAGCGGCGCAUACUUCAUGUACACCCCGAUACGAGCAGAGAAGCAGAACAGCUUUUGAAUGUUUGUGAUUUUUUUUUCUUCUUUUUCUCCUUUUUUUUUUUUAGAUGCUCUAAAUAAGUAACAUCGAUGUCACUUUCUGAUUUAAAAACGAGAUACUUUUCUGACAUCACGCGCUGGAGAACUGGGCGUCAUUUCCAUCUAGAGAUCUGUUCGACUAUAUUGAUUCUGAGCUUAUGUCAAAGUCCUGGCUACACAGAGCCCUCCAUCCAAUUGUCUCUCUGGUUCUGAAGACUUGACGAACAACAAACACGCUUUCCUCCAAACAUUCAAGUCCACACAGUAUCUGACAGAACCCCGGUGAAAAUGGCCAUCAGGCUUCACUGAGGAUGCCCCCUCCCUACUCCCUCCUUGACCAAAUAGUGAACUUAUAAAUUUUUCCAUCCGGACUGAGGUGUAUCCUUCAGGGGAUGGGAUGAGGAACCUGUUGAGAUGCAGAAAAUGGGAGGGGGCAGAAGACAAUGCAUGUAUCACACUUCAUCAUUCAAAGGAGAGAGGAGAGAAAAACCCAUCGGGCAAAUGGAGUUCCUCACCCUCCGGGACGAUCUGUCGGAAAAUAUUUCCUUCAGUGCUUCAGCAGCUCUGUAUACAUUUUACAUACACACAGGAAUGCUCUGAACUGACUGUGAACCUGACCAGCGUCUUUCUUGAUUCAGCUUGUUAGAGGGGAAGUGUGUUCCUCUUACAUUAGACAUUAACAGUCACCUAGUUGGAAGGGUGAGUAAAUAAAUAAUGAAGUGUGCUAAGGGAAAGACAUCAUAAUUCGAGGAAAGACACUUUGUUGUUCUGCUCAUUGCUCAUUAAUCUAUAUCCAAUCCAUUCCGAUGAAUAAAUAAUUCACUAAGUGCCUUGCUGUUGCAUUAUCGUGACAGUUUUAGAUGCUGAGAUUCAUUGCCAAGUUAAAAUAUGGGUCAGUUCUUAAUAUAAUGUAGCUAUAUUUUCCUCCUUUAUGCAUUUUUUUCUGUUUUUUUUUUUUUUUUGUAUGCAUUACCA